CCUGCAAUGAAGACAGUGCUUUGAGGCCAAAUUCGACAAAAUAUGUCAAGACUUCUAGAGGUGCAUACAAGCCAGACCCCAACACCCGGCUCCACCUGCCACACUUGAGAACAAGGAGGAGACAACGACUCCCAGUCCCAGCUCUGAGCAGAAUGAUCACCCAGGCAUACAGCAGUCUUGCCGCCUAGAUGAUCGGAGAGCCCCCCCCCGGCGGCAUUCUGCCUUGUCGAUGGAACUACAGGCACCACCAGGCAGCCGAGCAUACUGCAUCACACUACCACCAAACACCCACCUUAUCAACUCGCCGCUGCCUUCCUGCACGGCGCAAGGGAGGGCGCCGAGUCCCCAGUCACAAGCCGCCCCACCACAUGGCUCACAGCCGGCAACACCG